rnacentral:rRNA from 1 species
GACGAACGCUGGCGGCGUGCUUAACACAUGCAAGUCACGGGGGCCCGCAAGGGCAACCGGCGAACGGGUGCGUAACACGUGAGCAACCUGCCGAUCUGCGGGGGAUAGCCGGCCCAACGGCCGGGUAAUACCGCAUACGUUCUUGGGGAGGAGUCUCCUCUUGAAGAAACCUCCGGGGCAGAUCGAGGGGCUCGCGGCCUAUCAGCUAGUUGGCGGUGUAAUGGACCACCAAGGCGACGACGGGGUAGCUGGUCUGAGAGGAUGGCCAGCCACAUUGGGACUGAGAGACGGCCCAGACUCCUACGGGAGGCAGCAGUGGGGAAUCUUGCGCAAUGGCCGAAAGGCUGACGCAGCGACGCCGCGUGUGGGAUGAAGCAUUUCGGUGUGUAAACCACUGUUGCCCGGGACGAACAGCCUUUUCGAGAGGCCUGACGGUACCGGGUGAGGAAGCACCGGCUAACUCCGUGCCAGCAGCCG